GGUCCUGUGGUCUAGUGGUAUGAUUCUCGCUUUGGGCUCUCCCAGACUUAAUUGGCCUGCGAGAGGCCCCGCGUUCGAAUCGCGGCAGGACCC
rnacentral:tRNA from 1 species